AUUGAACGCUGGCGGCAUGCCUUACACAUGCAAGUCGAACGGUAACGGGUCCUUCGGGAUGCCGACGAGUGGCGAACGGGUGAGUAAUAUAUCGGAACGUGCCCAGUAGUGGGGGAUAACUGCUCGAAAGAGCAGCUAAUACCGCAUACGACCUGAGGGUGAAAGGGGGGGAUCGCAAGACCUCUCGCUAUUGGAGCGGCCGAUAUCAGAUUAGCUAGUUGGUGGGGUAAAGGCCUACCAAGGCAACGAUCUGUAGUUGGGCUGAGAGGACGACCAGCCACACUGGGACGCAGACACGGCCCAGACUCCGACGGGAGGCAGCAGUGGGUAAUGUUGGCCAAUGGGCUCAAGCCUGAUCCAGCAAUGCCGCGUGCAGGAUGAAGGCCUUCGGGUUGUAAACUGCUUUUGUACGGAACGAAAAGGCUCUGGUUAAUACCUGGGGCACAUGACGGUACCAUAAGAAUAAGCACCGGCUAACUACGUGCCAGCAGCCGCGGUAA
rnacentral:rRNA from 1 species